rnacentral:lncRNA from 1 species
UCCGUUUAAAAUGAUCUUGUGAAGAGAAAAAUAUUCUGCAAGGCUUCCUUCGAACCUUAUAGAGAACGCAACAGAACGAAAUUUCAUUGAAGUAAACAGCCGGCAAAUCGGCAAUUAACAAGCUGCCAUCUUUAAAUUGCAUAAUGAGAUCGCAUGCGAUGACGUCAUACGUUUUGACCGCAUGAUACGCGACAUAGAAAAAAUUCUCCUCUUAAAACAUAUAUAGUAUCUGAGUUAUAGAAAAUACUACCUCCAGAGUGUAAAAUAUGUAGCAAAAACGACAUCACUGUCGUUGCUAUGGCAACAAGCCGUUUUUUGGCUUCAAAAAACAACGGUGUAUUGUACGGGAAGCCCCCCCCCCCCCCCCCAAUGAACAUUUUAACAAGGGGGCUUAGCACCCUAACCCUCCCCCCUCCCUUCUACACUUCUAUUCACUUUAGGCUUAGCUCGAAGUAUAACCAAUGUUCAAGUUCCUUUUUGCAGUGUGUGGUUGAAUUACAAAAAUACUAUGUUUAUAUAUAGAUACGGACUGUGACGUGUUUUGAAAUAACAUGUAGGCUAAGUAUUGAUAGUAUCAGUUAAAUAUUCUCUGCAAAAACCCGUUCCUAUAUAUUAUAAGCCAUGGUGCAUGUGCCUAUUGUCGUGAUUUAAUCGAUACAAAAAUGUAAGUAUAUUUGUUUUCUUGAACGGCCCCUGUCAGUGUAGGUUUAUAGUGGCAAUAAUAAGAAACGAAAGGCCUUCGCUCGAAACGUCGAAGGUCUCCUUGUAUUUUUCAGAGAGUUGUUCUGCCAUUGUCGUUCUCGGUUCGCAAACUCACGAUAGUAAUAAAAUUCAUACGGUAAUACUUACAGACUGGUAUUCCUGUUCGGUCCCAUUUGUCAUGUUCGUGGUGGCAUUCGUCUGGGAACCUGAACAAUUCCUGUUUCUGAAGUUCCCCAAAACUGCAGUCGUCAUUGUGGAACUACAAUUUCUGAGUGAGUUUUUCACGCCUUUAUACGUCUGAGGUUGGCUUGAAAUAGACAGACAUGUCAAGAUCACUAGCAUGGAUCGGUAAAAAGAACAGCCCAGCUUUGCCUUGAUAAACAUUAUAGUACUGACCAAGACUCCGACUCUGUGCGUGUGUUACUGUUAGGAAGGCUGUUUAUCGUCUGCCAGUUUUUUGUAAACCGUUUGUAAUAUGUACUACCACUAUUCAUUAGUAUUUGUGCCGGAUAUUUGUACUUUAAACAGCUCUGCAGCUGAAUUAUUAAUGCACAAAGGCUAAAAGCGAAAGGAUUUGUACGUGCGUGUGUUAACUGAAAGCUACACCUCUGAGGAUCAUGCUUCCGUCAUGCAAUAUUAUUGC